rnacentral:lncRNA from 1 species
UAUCAUUUUGAUAGUUUCUAUGUUUUAUUUUUUUAUUAAUAGUUCAGUUUUUUCUGCUAAUGUUAUUAGAUCAUGUAAAUUUCUUUGAAGACAAUAGUGUUUGUAAUUCAGUCUUUGUUGCUGAAAGAAAGAAGUCUUUUAUCACAGUACUCAAAACUGGUAAAAAACAAAACAUAUAUUGAUGCAUUAAUUUUAAUGAGGAAACAGGUUAUUCACAGGGUACCAGUUCAUGUGUAUUUCACGAUUCAUUAUUAUCACAAAGUAGAAUUAAUCCACAUUUAAUUCGCUUCUUUGGCCCUGUUUUUGUUCUAUUUACUAAUUACAAGUUUUAAGAUUUCCAUUUAUAUUUAUAUUCUGGUUGUUAUAAUGCUAAACUAAAAGUUAGAGUGGAAUGUUAUUACUGUAAUGUAUGAAUUUUUUUCAUCCAUUUAUUAUUUAAAUUUUGUCAUUUUACACUAAAAUGUGAUUUGAAUUUUUUUCGGAUAUU